GGCCUGGCCCCAGCCCUGAUCCCAUGGGAACGCCCUGGUGCCAGCCCAGCUGGGUGUCCCUCCAUGUCCCACCCUGCCCUCAGCCCGUUCCUCCCCCGGAGCACAGGGCCCUGUCCAUGAGCAGCCAGCUCCUCCAGGAGAUGCUGUGGGAGAAGGUGUCAAAGGCUCUGUGCAGUCCGGGCAGACACAUCCACAGCCUUUCCCUCAGCCCUGAGCAGGUCACCGUGGGCCAGGAGGAGAUCAGGGUAGAAUGCAGAGACAUUUCUCUUUGACAAAGAAGAGCUCUCCAUCAGGCACUGUGUGUGUGUUUAAGUAAAUAGAAGGAGAUUUACCUUCUGAAGCUCAUGUGAAAUCAUUCAAACUUGACAUCAUUCCAAGACAUUGCAUGGAAGGAGGUUACACUCACCUGCCCUUAAGCCAGGGCAGGAAUGUGACUGACCAAUCAGCUCUAGCAUGUCAGGAGCCCCAGAGCCAUGGAAAUUGCUGUGAGUAGCCAAACACUUGCUUCUUUAUUUAUCGACCAUGAAGUUGUGCAAAGCCUGUUGAACAGGCUCUCUCAUAGCAGACCUGGCUAGGAUGGACUUGUGCCAGGGUGUCAGUGGUAGCAGAUGAAACCACCUUCAAGAGAAAACAGAGUUCUAAGUUGAAAUAAAUCAUAUAUUAAAGGUGUCUGAAGACAAUCCUCAGGUGCUAAUCUGAUCUCUACAGUGUAGAACUGAUGUGACCGGGUGUUGUCUGCUCACGUGGUAAAGAAAUCAUGUAAGAAAUGUUCCCUCAUUUCCUCCAAGGAUUAAUUCUUCUAGGUGCAAACAUGGAGGGCUUUACACCUAAACCAAAUGUGAACUUGGAGGUCUGUCUUUACAAAUCAGUCACUUUACUCAGGAAUUUCCUUAAAGGUGCAGUGGGACUGGGAGGUACAAGCUGAACCUUGUGUUGGCAGCGCUCAAAGGAUGUGCUGUAGCCACUAGCAUUGCAUCAAAGGAAGGGAAGCUGUUUAGGACAGAGAGAUGGUUCAUAAAUUUAUUUGACUGGAUGCCCAACGUGGACCACCUGCUAUGUUGAUAGAACAAAGAAAGGAGCUUGAAGAGUGCUAAAAAACCUGAAGGAAGAGAAGGAGAAAAGCCCGGCAUCUGACUGACAUGCUUGUCUCUCUGCAGGAUCAUUGCUGGCUGGCCCCAGUGCAGAAGCUGUAGCUGACCUGUAGCAGGUGACAUCUGAAGAAAUGGACUGAUGGCAACCUCAGAAAGCUGGACAAAGGGCAAUGCAAGCUCCUGUGCCAUGGCUGGGACAGGAUGGAUGUGGAGAAAGAUGCCUGGGCAAGGAGUACCAGCAGCUGGGCUCUCCUGGGAGGCUCAAGCUGACAGGGUGUGGACACACAUCUUGCAAAAGAGGAUGUUGCUUUGAGGCAAAAAAUGCACAUUUGGUCCUUUGCAUGGUGGACUGAACCAGGAACAGGUUGCCCAGAGAGGCCAUGGAAUUUCCAUCCUCUGCUCCUGUUAGGUGUGGGGUGGGCUGGAGCCUGCCUGAGGUCCAGGCUGACCAACUCCACUGCUGCUUGAAGUACAGACAGAGCUCGCCAUGGCAUCACUCCUUAUUUCCACUAUUUUUCUCCUCUGCGAGUUUUUCUUCCCCAAAAUUUAUCUCUUGAAAUAAAGCAGCUUAUAAUAUUUUCCACUUGCAGGCCUUUAACUUGGUGAUGCUUUCCUCGAGUAUAAAAGCAGUGGGAGAAUUUUAUUUUUAAAGGAAUCCCCGCUUGAGUUACGGAUGACAUGCUUGCACGCUUGUGAAAUGUGUUUGCUCAGAGUUCCUUUGUUUGCUGCUGCCAGCCUUGUGGUGAUCUUGUGCCCAUGUGGCUUCCUGGUGGCUUCCCCGAGGCUCCCUCGGGCACACACAGCAUUGACUGCCAUGAAGUUCACCACAGGGCUGAAGUGAGAAUAAUUUUGCUGUCUGAAAGAUGGAUUCCUGCCUGUCAGAAAGGCCAUUCCAGCAUCCAGGGUGCAUCCUCUGUGUUAAUCGACAGGUCCCCAGUGAGAAAUACUUCUGCAGAGAAGACAGAGGGGAAAACAUGAACAAUGGGCUUCUCCUGCCCUAAUUGCAAGUACAGCAGGCAUGUCAAGUGUGAAUUUGAGAGACAGAGGUAAGGACUGUUUUAUAAACAGGAACAGAGCUGCUGUAGCAGAAGGACGAUAGCUAAGAACCAACAUGUAGCUAAAUCUACCUCCAAGAAACCUUAUCUGAGGAAGUAGGUAUAAUUCUAGAUCAAUGUAUCUUUGUUUCAUCUCCUGUUGGGUUUGCUUACUGCAUUUUGUAUGAAGCUUGAUUGUAUAAAUGGGUGUCAUGUUCUGUAAAUACUUCCAGGUGUGGGAAGAACAGGUGGGGGAAUGGCUGAUGUCUGGAUGUCACUUGGAUAGUGUAAAAAAGCUGCUACUGGUUUUCUGAGCUGCUGCAACUGGACCUGACCAGAGCAAGGGUCUUUGGGGCCAUGAGAAGGUGUUAAAAUCCCAUUGGACUUCCCUGUCCGCAGAGUGUUUAGUCUCCAGAGGCAGAGCAGCAGUCACAUUUUGAAACACCGUGUGUUUUGGGUUUAGGGAUCUUUCCUACCCAUUUAGUGAAUGUAGCCACUCUUCUUUAUUGACAUUAUGUAGUGAAAAGUGACUGCUCCACCAGCCAAAAUAAAUUAAACCUGCCUUGUUAGGAUCGCUGCCUCUGAGCAUUAAAAGCAUGAAACACACUCUGGGAAGCAAGUCAUUAAAUAUACAGGGAAAAGGUGCAGAGGUUAAAGAAUACUCAGAUAAGUUAGAUAUAUGCAAGUCAGCAGGGCUUCGUGAAAUUCACCCUGGAGUACUGCAGGUACUGGCUGAGGUGAUCUCUGAGCUAUUAGCAAUUAUCUCUGAGAGCUCGUGGAGGAUGAGUGAGGUCCCGGUGGAUGGGAGAAAGGCAAACACAGAACCUAUCUUUGAAAAGGGGAAAUAGGAAGAGCCAGGGAAUCACAGGCCAGUCAGCCUGGCUUUGAUACUGAGAAAAAUGCAGGAGCAAAUUAUUGAACAAUCAAUUUGUAAACACCUAGAGGAAAAUAAGGUGAUAAGAAACAGCCGGCUUGGGUUUGUCAAGAACAAAUCACAUCAAAGCAAUCUCAUUUCCUUCUUUGACAGAGUAACUGGCCCAGUGGAUAAGGAGGAAGAAGCAGAUGUGAUAGAUCUUGACUUUAGCGAGGCUUUUGACACACAUCCACAUGACAUUUUCAUAAGUAAACAGGAGAAAUAUGGUUUAGAUGAAGUUAUUAUGUGAUGGGUGCAAAACUGAAAAAUUUGGCUUAUCAGUAACGCAGUUAUCAAUGGUUUGUUGUCAGACUGGGAAAACAUAUCAAAUAAGAUACCACAGAGGACUGUCUUAGGUCCAGUAUUAUUCAAUAUUUUCAGCUUUGAUGAUGGAAUAUGUAGAAAACUUCAAAAAAUUGCAUAUGAUACUGAACUAGGAGGGGUUACAAACAGAACAGGAUUUGAAUACAAAAUGGGCUUGAUAAAUUGAAGAAAGUGUCUGAAAUCAAUAGGAUGAAAUUCAAUAAAGGCAGACAAGUGCAAUGUAUUACUUUUGGGGAAGGAAAAAUCAGAUGCACAAGUAUUAAAUGGGAAGCAACUAGUUGGAGAGUGGUUUUCAUAAAAGAGGCUUAGCACAGAACACAAGCAAAAUGAAAUCCAGAAAUGUGAAGAUGUGUGAAGAGUAAAUUCCACGAUUGUAUGAAUUAAUAGCAAUAUUGUGAAUAACUGGGAAAUAAUUAUCUAGUUCUGCCCUGAGUGGUAGAGCCUGACCCAGGAAUAUUGCAUCUGUGUCCAACAGUAAUGGCACAUUUUGAAAAUCAUCCUCCUUUAGAUAGAGAAAGAACAAAGCCUAGAAAACAAUUUCUAUGAGAAAAAGCUGAAUUAAAUGAGUAUGGACUUUUUGCUUAGGAAAAAGUACAAUGCAUCUACAGUAUGCAAAAUAUUAUUAAAAGUCUUGUAAAGAAAAGGGCAUUUGCCUGCUUUCCCUGUUUAAAAUGGUGCAAAAAAGAAAAAAUUAAAUAAAAAGGAUGGAAUAAGCUAAAGCAGAUAGAGAGAUGUUCUGGCUAUGGGGAUGAUACUGCACUGGAACAGCGUUUCUGAGGAUAUUCUGGAAUCCUUGUUUCAAGUCCUGAAAAUGGGUCAGACAGACAUCUGUCUGUGAUGUGAAACAGAUGUCCUCUGGAGGGUACUCCUACUUUUACAUUUCUACAGUAAUUCAUACUCCUCAGUCAAGAGAAAAGCUCACAUGAAAAAGAUAAGCAAGAAUUAAAUACAUGGAUAUAAAUUUCUGCCCAGACUCCCACUUUUCCACUGCAAACUUCUUUUUUUGGAUUUAUGCUCACUUAUCACACAGUCCUCUGUUCCCCUUUUCACCUGUCUGCCUUGAAACAGAGGGAAGGGUUGCUAGUCAUUCCAUAAUUAUAUGAAAGAUUAUGAAGCCAGACAGGCCUGCCUUCUAUCCAAACAUGAAAUCAUGCACGUCCGUUCUCCUGGGCUGGUUGCUGGUGCAAAAUCAAGACCAAAAAACUUAAAAAACCCCCAAAACCCAAACCUUUUUUAUAUCGUCUGCUGUAUGCUGCUCUAAGAAACACUUUGUUCUUUUCCUUUUUCUGUUUUUGAUGAAGAUAUACAGAGAAUGAAGCUUUAUAAACAUGCUUUCUCUCUUUUAAUGAUAGACAUGAGACAAAAUGGAUGGUACUUUUAUGAUGUUUUAUUGGCAUGAUUUUGAACUGGUGUGUUAUUUAUGGCACCAUCCUAGACAGAAUGCAGCAAACCCUCUGCAUCUUGUUUCUGUGUGAGCCAUGUGCAUCCUGAAACAUAACCUUGAAAUACCUAGUGAGAAGUAAGAUCUUCAUUUAGGGCUGUAAGGCCAGAAGUCUUAGUCAUCAAGUGUUGUUUUGUGUGAAGUCUAUGAGAGGAAAAAGCCACUUUUAAAUGACUGAUCUAAACUAACAUGUUUAACUGCAGGAUUUGCAAGCUGCAUUGUGGGGGAUGCUACACUCAAAGAGCAGAAUGUCUCUUCUCCUUGAUGUGCUUGGCUUUGUGAUGAUACCUGCACAAAAUAAAUUUGUGAAACCCUUCUUAAAAGGCUACAAGGCUGUGCUCACCAGUAAAUAAGUGCUUACCUGGCUGUGAAACUGAUUCUUUCCUUUGUAUCUCUGUGAAAGCUUUCCAACUGCAGGAACCAGGGAUGUUAUAUUUUUUGCAGAUGUUGGUGGGAUGAAUGUACUUGCUCCCAAAUUUGGGACCUAGACUUUUUCCCAAAAGUGGAGGUUUAGGAGCAGAAAUGUAUGCAUUUAGGGAAGGGAUAUUUAUUUGCCAGGUGAGCUGGCAUGUGGGUAUCUUUGUUGGAGUGAGAUCAGCUCUCAGCUCUUUGGGAGGGGUUUGUCCAGGCUGCGUGGGGAGUGUUCCCAAGCAUCCAGGGGUAUCCAGGUCAUCUGGAGCCAAGCUGAUGCAGGAUGCUAAGGCUGCAUCCAUGUGAUGCUAUUCUUCAUGGCUGUAGACAUCCAUGCCAAGGUUAAUAAUGUCACCAACCUUCAUUUUCCCUAUUUUUUGCUGGUUCAUGUUUUUAACGUCCAUAUCAUGUUUUUAAAGUCUCAUAUUACCUUUUGCAACUGAGUGUUUGUCAAAACUGAGCCCCCCAGGAUCUACUGAAGUGCCAGCAAUAUUUUAUACACCACUAAAGUCUUGCUAAAAGGCUAUUUUGAGACUUUACUGAUACUGUGAAGAAAAAUAAACUCAUAGUUAGUGACCCUUGUAGUAUGGUUGAACUGAUAGGAAGAUGCACCACUACUCACAUUUAUGGUGAGGUCUACAGUACAUAACUUUUGAGACGGAAUUUUGUAGCAGAAGGUUUUGGGAGGUCACUGGUAAUACUGCCAUUAACUUGCCAGUGAGAAGAUAGAACCAUAUUUAGAGCCACUUUUACCCCUGUUUUCUGUAAUAUAAUAGUUUCUGAGCUUUCAUUAGCUACCACAAAUGAAAGAUUUGUGGUAGUAUGGAACAAAGUGGGUUCUUCUUACCACUUGCAAAAGGUCUUAUUAAACAUAAAGUAAAAUAAAGCUUCCUGGAUCUAAAUAUAGGCAGGACUAAAUUGGCAGAUCUCAGUAAACAUGACUGCUUGGUAAUGGAGAUAAUGCUGAGUGAGCUUUAUAGAAGGGGAAAAAAACUUAAAUUAAAAAAAAAAAGUCUGAAAUGUUGCCAAAAGUUAAUGUCUCUUUCCCCCUCUAUGAAACAACACUGUCCUUGUUUUCCAUCCCAACCAGCUAGAGACAUCUCACUGGAAAACAUUUGCCCCAAUCUGAAACAUAUCCACAACCUGCUCCAUGCUAAAAUUAUCAACCAUACAAGUUGUGUCAUGACAGAUAGGAAAAAAGCCCAGUCUAAGGCAAGAUCAAUUCCUGACCAUAUUUCUAUGGUUUUUUUUUAAAGAAUUAGUGCUGUAUUCACAGAAUAACUCAUCUAGGAAGGAGCAACCUCUAGGCAAUCAGCUGGUCAGGCAGCAUAGAGGACACCCACCACAGACUUUGUGCAUCUUUAAUUGUAGGGGUGGUGCUGGUUAAGAGGGAAGAUCUGUUCUUAUCUACAGGAGGGUUUAAGUCAAUUUUUGAAAAGGACUUAAAAUACCUAAAAGGAUCUUGCUGAAACUGAGUCUUUGUUUGAAUGUCUCACCCCUCAGCUCAAGCUUUCAGGCUGAGCUCUGCGUUGUGCCAGAGGGAAGCACUUUGGAGGGGCUGGAGGAGUACAGCCACCCUUCAGCUGGGACUCAGUGUGGCUCUGCCCGUUUCCAUUUCUCUGAUCUCAUUCCCCAAGCCCUGAGUGGAGAGAUGGUGUCUCCUGCAGAUUUCUGGCUGUGGAAAAUUACUGCAACACGAAAAACAAGAGGGGACAUGCAUGCAGAUGUUGCAAGGUCAUGCAUGGAGAAAAAAACAACACCAGUGGGCAGAAACUCAAAUUGUUUAUUGCUUACCAGCAUUACUUAAUUUUGUUACAUUCACUGAAUUAUCUGCAACAGCAGACUUUGUGGAGAGGUAUGGCCCACCUGUGAUACAUAUAUAAAUAUAUACAUGUAUAUAUUUAUACACUAUCAUGGUGAUAAAUUUUAAUGAGAGCUUCAUCACAACCAGCUGGUGUUGUUUGAAACAAAUUACAUUAAUAAUGCGCCUGAAUUUUCAGCAUAAGACCAAAUAAUGAGAGUUGUAAAGCUGCAACAUAAUGUGGAGUCAACAGUUUAGUGGGCUGGCACUCCCACCUUAGGCAAGGCUCUGAAUCUGAAUCCUGUAGGAUGAGGUUCAGCCCUCCCUCCUCCACACCCCGCUGGGAUGUCGCAGGGGUUCAGUCUCCUGGCACCGAGGAGAAAUGCUGAGAUAUCUGACGAGUGAGGCCUGUAUUAACACUUCAGGUAGCACGUCUAUUUUGGGGCCAGCAGGCUGGCAGCUCCCUGCUAUGUGAUGCUUCUGUUCUCUGUCUCCCUGCUUUGCUGUGCUCUGGGUCCUGCUUGCGCUGCGUGGGAGAGGUGGUGGAACUCACAGCACUCCUCUCCUUCUCCCACUGGCCUGCAGUGGUGGAGGGGCAAAGGCAGGACGUGUUUUCACUGUGCUGCCUCAAUCAGGGUCCAAGAGGUCCUGUGAGGCAGGUGGACAAGGAUCUGCACCAUGCUGGCAGUGUUGUUUCCACAGUGGAAAGGUUCCAUUCCUGGUGAUGUGGAGCACAGGGACCUUAAUGUGGGACUAGAAUGCAACAGCACCCCUGUGCUGCACACUUCCCACCCAAUCUUGGAGCAAAACUCCACCAGGAUGAAGGGAUUUCACCACUCUUCUUGUUAAAUAUUCUCAGCACAUGUGUUUAAGGUGUGCUGGGAUGUCUUCCUUGCUUGUCUAUGACUUCUGACUGAAGAUCAGCAUGAAUUCUUUGGCGAUCCCUUUCUCUUUUUGAGGGUAGGCAGCUGCUCUCCUUACAAGCCCCACUAUCUGCCUGGCUAUUCAGAUCCCAUCAGGAAGACAUGAUAAAAGGCAAAUGUGUGUCUUAGUGUGUGCAUAGACACAGAGAUACCCAUGGCUGGGGCUCUUGGUAAAUACUUUAAGUGUAGAGUUUCUCUAUAAAUAUUCUAUUCUCCAUAACCUAUCUUUUUUACUCAGUCACUCUUCUGUCUUGACACUUAACUCUGUGAAUGUUUUCUUUACUUUCUAGAUCAUCAUUAAUUAAAGGACUUCUUGAUUUUCCACAAUACCUUCCCUUUUUUUUUCUUUUUCUUUCCUUUUUUUUUUUCCUUUUCUGAGGCUAAUCUUCAAUUAAUAUGGACUUGUGAGCAUAUAAAUAAAAAAUGUCUGUUGUGUGUUUUUCUUGCAAUAAAUCUGAUCAUUCCUCAUACUGCUGCUCAGUAUAUCUCCCCUAAGGUAUGCUGAAUUUGAUCAAAUCAGUGCAUCACCGGAAUGCUGAGUGUUACUCAUUUGUGUGCUAAUUACUCUUAAUCUGGGCCCUUUUAAAAAGGUCGUCAAUUAGACUUUAUUGAAUUGUCAGCCUUCCUAGCAGCGAAGGGAAUCUGGUAGCUGGUGUAAUGAUGUCACAGAUGGCUAAAUACUCUGAAGUCUGAAGGGAAAAAUGAAUUAAAUAUAAGUUCAAGUUACACAAUGUGGUGUGAAAAUGUGGGAGCCAGGCUUUUUGUGGAGGAAACUACUGUUCACAGCUGAUUGAAGCUGACUCUAAAGACCUCUUUUAUGGCACCCUCUGGAAAGAGCUAUGAAUAAAUGACCCUUUCUCAUCUUAUUCCCAAGGUUCACCUUGAAAUAGGUCUCUUCUACGUGGAGCAGGUCUUCUGCCUUUUUAAGAACAUCUCAAGGCCACCUUGCUGAUGUUUGUUUUCCUUUGCUGGAGGUUGGGACAAGAAGAUGAAAACUUGUAGCAUGAAUUGCUCAAUACCCAGCAGUUCUAAACCUUAACCUUACCUCAGCCAGGAAUUUUUGCAGGUGUUUUGAGGACCUGGAGAAAAUCAAUCCAUAUUUUAUAAGCCAGUCUUUUAAUGUAUUUGCUGUGUGUUACUCCUAUCAGUGUGUCUCCAGAAAGAAUAGGCAAGCAAUUUUGUUUUUUCACUGAUUUUUUUUUUGGUAAGCAAUUUGGUCUGAGGAAAAUUUUGAAUGAAGAACAUUGCAACCAGAAGAUAAAAUGGCAAUCAAUACUUGUUUCAACAUAAUGUAUGCCUGAAAUUG